AUGCGUGCAGGCAUAGAGGAGGUCUUUCCGUUGACAGUGCACAGGCACUGCAGGUGGCACAUUAUAAAGAAGGCUGAGGAGACGCUAGGACCGUUCUUUACUGACCGUCCAGAGCUGCACAAGGCAUUCGAGCUGUGCGUGGACCAUAGCUUGACGUUGGAGGAGUUUGAAAGGAGCUGGAUGGCCAUGACUGAAACAUAUCAAGUCCAAGACAACAAGACUCUUGUUAUCCUGUGGGAGAAGCAAAUGUACUGGGUGCCGGCCUACUUCAUGCAGUGCUUCUUCCCCUUUCUGCAGACUACGCAGCGCAGCGAGGGGUUCAAUGCUGUUUUGAAGCGGUACGUCAGCCCUGGCAACUCAUUGCUACAGUUUGCCAAAAAGUACACAGCUUUGCAACAAAAAAUUCUGGGAUCUGAGCUACAACAAGAAGUAACCACGAUACUAAAACAGCCAAAAUUGCUAACGUAUUUACCGAUAGAGAGGCAAAUGAGCAAAAUAUACACCAACAAGAUCUUUAACAAGUAA
rnacentral:rRNA from 1 species